rnacentral:misc_RNA from 1 species
UACGAGUAGUGCAAGUGUUAUUCCUCUUGAUUGGGCGUAAAGGGUAGGUAGCGGUAUGGAUAGUUGGAAACAAAAAAUUAUGUAUGUUUAUUAUCCGUUUCUAAUACUUCCAUACUUGAGUAAUAGAAAAGACAGCGGAACUUUUGGCAUUAGAGUUGAAAUGCGUUGAAACCAAAGGGAACCCCGAAGGCGAAGGCAGCUGUCUGUCUAUUUCUGACGCUGAGCUACGAGGCAUGGGGAUCAAAUAGG